UUUUUUUUUUGGCUGAAGUUUUCUUUUGAUUGUCAAGAGUUUUUUUUGAGAGAGAGAUUGGUUGUCAAGAGUUAUGAGCACCACCAAUCUCACUUUUUUUGCCAGUCCCUUUUAAGACGUAUUUCCAUCAGUUAUCACAAACCUGAGGGAACUUCCUUUCUCAAAAAAAUAUGCUUAUAAUAUUUUCUUUUUCUUCUUCACGAUUUGCAGCCUGUGCUAUAUUUGUCUCAGCACUGCAUGUGCCAUUUUGUUUUUUCUACAGUUGCGCGUGUGCAUCAUUUACCAAAAUGCUGGAAACAAGACUGCAGGAAAUACGCAAACUUCCAAAGCACGCUUUCUUCAUCAGUAAGUACCUUCCAUACAUGGCCACACAGUGGCGCUAAAGGCCUGGACGGCCCAUACUCGAAAAGACCCAUUGGUCCUCCCCUUCCCUCCGCUCACACGGUCACACUCACACCGCAAACGGCAAACCCAGAACCGCCGCCCAGAGCGAGGCCGCAGCGGCGGCGACGGCCCACGAGACGACGCCGUGGUGCGCGGCCGCGGCGUGCGGUGGCUGCG
rnacentral:lncRNA from 1 species